rnacentral:rRNA from 1 species
GAAAGGGCUCAAGGUGGAUGCCUUGGCACAUGAAGGCGAAGAAGGACGUAAGUGAACGAAAACUAGGGUAAGCUCACAACAAGCACCAACCCCUAGGUCUCCGAAUGGGGAAACCCGUCUAAUGAAGAAUUAGACAUCAUAAGAUAAACACAUAGUCUUAUGAAGCCAGACCCUGCGAACUGAAACAUCUAAGUAGCAGGAGGAAAAGAAAGAAAACUCGAUUUUCCAAGUAGCGGCGAGCGAAAAGAAAACAGCCCAACCCAAUAAGAAAUAUGUUUUUUAGUCAAAUCAUUUGGGAAAAUGAACCAAAGAAAGUGAAAGUCUUGUAGACAAAAGAAAACAAAUUUUUGGGGGCAAGUAGCAGUGAACACGAGGAAUUUGCUGUGAAGAUAGGGGGCCCAUCCCCUAAGGCUAAAUACUAACAUGUGACCGAUAGUGAACAAGUACCGUGAGGGAAAGGUGAAAAGAACCCCGCAAGGGGAGUGAAAUAGAACCUGAAACCUUAAGCCUACAAGCAGACAGAGAUCAAAAGAUUGAUGUCGUACCUUUUGUAGAAUGGGCCAGCGAGUUAUCAUAGCAAGCAAGAUUAAGCAUUUAAGAUGCGAAGUCCAAGCGAAAGCGAGUCUUAACAGGGCGAAAGUUUACUAUGAUAGACCCGAAACCGGGUGAUCUAGCCAUGGUCAGAGUGAAGGUGAAGUAAAAUUCACUGGAGGCUCGAACCGGGUGCGGUUUAAAACGCAUCGGAUGAACUGUGGCUAGGGGCGAAAAACCAAACGAACCCGGAGAUAGCUGGUUCUCCUCGAAAUAGCUUUAGGGCUAGCCUAUGAUCAAAGAUUUAAGGAGGUAGAGCACUGAAUGGCCUAGGGCGGUUAACGUACCAAAGCCUAUCAAACUCCGAAUGCCAAAAAAUCAAAUCAUGGAGUCAGACUUAGAGGGAUAAGCUCCUAAGUCGAAAGGGAAACAGCCCAGACCGACAGCUAAGGUCCCAAAAUCUGGAUUAAGUGGAAAAGGAUGUGAACCUACUAAGACAACCAGGACGUUGGCUUAGAAGCAGCCAUACAUUUAAAGAAUGCGUAAUAGCUCACUGGUCAAGUGGGUUUGCGCCGAAAAUAAACGGGGCUAAAAUCCAGUACCGAAGCUUCGGAUUGAUAGAGAAUUUAAAUCUAUCUCAUAAAAAGGAAACCAUAAAAAAAGGCAAAAGAAAACUUAACUAGGAAAUAUAAAAAAACAAUCAAGAUAAACGAGUAACAAAUCAAAUUACGUAAAUAAAAAAAAAAGUAAGUUGUAAAUUACUAUCGUCGGCACUCUGACAAAUCGAAGAUUUGAAACAGUGCGACGUCUGACCUACCAACCAAAACAAGUUUUGGGGUUAGGUCAUGAAAUUAUCACCGAAACAGACAUACAAAAGUAUGAACCUGGUAAAAGUAUUCAAAAACCUAAAAAAGUGGUUACUUAUGAAUAGAUUUAAACUCUCUAUCAGUGGUAGAGGAGCAUUGUAUAAGCGAAGAAGCCAAAGUGAAAACAAAAGUGGAGCCUAUACAAGAGAGAAUGCUGGCAUGAGUAGCGAGAAGGAGAGUGAGAAUCUCUCCCGUCGAAACCCUAAGGACUCCUGAGCAAGGCUCGUCCCCUCAGGGAAAGUCGGGACCUAAGGCAAGGCCGAAAGGCGUAGCCGAUGGACAACAGGUUUAAAAUCCUGUACCGCUUAAAGUCGUUAAAGAGACGUGAUGACGCAAGAGGACACACUAGCUGCCUGAUGGAAGGCAGUCUAAACACAAAGGCUUUUCAGUAGGCAAAUCCGCUGAUCAGCAGCCAAUGUGCGAUAGGCAUCGAAAACACAAGUAGAGAAAUAGUUAAAUUCAAAUUGCCAAGAAAAGUCACUAUCAAGACCAAAGCGCCCGUACCAAAACCGACACAGGUAGGGAGGUAGAGAAUACCAAGACGCGCGGAAGAACCUUUGUUAAGGAACUCGGCAAAAUAUCCCCGUAAGUUCGCGAGAAGGGGAGCCAGAGCGAUCUGGCCACAGAAACCAGGCCCAAGCGACUGUUUACCAAAAACACAAGUUUCUGCAAAAUCGCAAGAUGAAGUAUAGGAGCUGACACCUGCCCGGUGCUGGAAGGUUAAGGGGAAGGCUUAGAGCAAUCGAAGGCCAGAACUUAAGCCCCAGUAAACGGCGGCCGUAACUAUAACGGUCCUAAGGUAGCGAAAUUCCUUGUCGGGUAAGUUCCGACCCGCACGAAAGGUGUAACGAUUUGGGCACUGUCUCAACAAAGGAUCCGGUGAAAUUGUAGUAGUCGUGAAGAUGCGACUUACCCACGCUAGGACGGAAAGACCCCGUGGAGCUUUACUGUAGGCUGAUAUUGGAUUUUGAGAUUAGACGUACAGGAUAGUUGGGAGACUAUGAAACCUGCACGCCAGUGUAGGCGAAGUCAUCCUUGGGAUACCAACCCUCUAAUAUCAAAAUUCUAACAAUGACCCAUGAAGCUGGGCAUUGGACAUUGUCAGUUGGGCAGUUUGACUGGGGCGGUCGCCUCCCAAAAAGUAACGGAGGCGUUCAAAGGUUCGCUCAGAAUGGACGGAAACCAUUCGAAGAGUACAAAGGCACAAGCGAGCUUAACUGCGAGAUAGACAAAUCAAGCAGAGUAGAAAUACGGACUUAGUGAUCCGGUGGUUCCGAAUGGAAGGGCCAUCGCUCAACGGAUAAAAGCUACCCCGGGGAUAACAGGCUUAUCUCCCCCAAGAGUCCACAUCGACGGGGAGGUUUGGCACCUCGAUGUCGGCUCGUCUCAUCCUGGGGCUGAAGUAGGUCCCAAGGGUUGGGCUGUUCGCCCAUUAAAGAGGCACGCGAGCUGGGUUCAGAACGUCGUGAGACAGUUCGGUCCCUAUCCAGCGUGGGCGUAAGAAAUUUGCGAGGAGCUGUCCCUAGUACGAGAGGACCGGGAUGGACAUACCACUGGUGCACCAGUUGUUUCGCCAGAAGCAUAGCUGGGUAGCUAAGUAUGGAAUUGAUAAGUACUGAAAGCAUCUAAGUACGAAGCAACCCUCAAGAUAAGAUUUCUCAAAGAAGGUAAAGAAAAUACCUUAGAUAGGUCCAAGGUGUAAGUACAGUAAUGUAUUAAGCUAAAGGAUACUAACCAUUAAAACUUGACUGG